CCUACGUGCUUGCCCUUUCAGUGAGUGGCGAACGGGUGAGUAACACGUGGACAACCUGCCUCAAGGCUGGGGAUAACAUUUGGAAACAGAUGCUAAUACCGAAUAAAACUUAGUGUCGCAUGACAAAAAGUUAAAAGGCGCUUCGGCGUCACCUAGAGAUGGAUCCGCGGUGCAUUAGUUAGUUGGUGGGGUAAAGGCCUACCAAGACAAUGAUGCAUAGCCGAGUUGAGAGACUGAUCGGCCACAUUGGGACUGAGACACGGCCCAAACUCCUACGGGAGGCUGCAGUAGGGAAUCUUCCACAAUGGGCGAAAGCCUGAUGGAGCAACGCCGCGUGUGUGAUGAAGGCUUUCGGGUCGUAAAGCACUGUUGUAUGGGAAGAACAGCUAGAAUAGGAAAUGAUUUUAGUUUGACGGUACCAUACCAGAAAGGGACGGCUAAAUACGUGCCAGCAGCCGCGGUAAUACGUAUGUCCCGAGCGUUAUCCGGAUUUAUUGGGCGUAAAGCGAGCGCAGACGGUUUAUUAAGUCUGAUGUGAAAGCCCGGAGCUCAACUCCCGGAAUGGCAUUGGAAACUGGGUUAACUUGAGUGCAGUAGAGGUAAGUGGGAACUCCAUGUGUAGCGGUGGAAUGCGUAGAUAUAUGGGAGGAACACCAGUGGCGAAGCGGCUUACUGGACUGCAACUGACGUUGAGGCUCGAAAGUGUGGGGUAGGCAACAUGGAUCAGAUACCUGCUAGUGCACAGCGUAACGAAUGACACUAAGUGCUAGGAGCUUGCCGCCUCUAAGUGCCGAGCUAGCAUAGUGUCGUCUGGGAGUACGACGCAUGGUUGCAACUCAU
rnacentral:rRNA from 1 species